rnacentral:rRNA from 1 species
ACUCAAAGGAAUAGACGGGGACCCGCACAAGCGGUGGAGCAUGUGGUUUAAUUCGACGCAACGCGAAGAACCUUACCUGGGUUAAAUCCCAGACUACGAUUCGAGAGAUCGGAUUUCCCUUCGGGGGGUCUGGGACGGUGCUGCAUGGCUGUCGUCAGCUCGUGCCGUGAGGUGUUGGGUUAAGUCCCGCAACGAGCGCAACCCUUACCGUUAGUUGCCAGCGGGUCAUGCCGGGCACUCUAGUGGGACUGCCGGUGACAAACCGGAGGAAGGUGGGGAUGACGUCAAGUCAUCAUGGCCUUUAUGUCCAGGGCUACACACGUGCUACAAUGGCCGGUACAAAGCGCUGCAAACCCGCGAGGGGGAGCCAAUCGCAAAAAGCCGGUCUCAGUUCGGAUUGGAGUCUGCAACUCGACUCCAUGAAGGUGGAAUCGCUAGUAAUCGCGGAUCAGCACGCCGCGGUGAAUACGUUCCCGGGUCUUGCACACACCGCCCGU